GAGCUAGAACUCUUGAAGCAAGGUUCAAGGAGCACUGUCUUUGGAUCGAUUGUUGUGUUGAUCACCAUUGGAGGACAGAUAUUUGUAUACUUUGUGAAAAUAAUUCUUCACCAAAUCAAAAUUCAAAAAGUAUACUUCCUAAUACUUCUUGUAGAUCUAUGCUUUGAUUGGUAUUAUCAAGGAUUUUUGGGUAUUAGGAUUUUGGUGCACUAGUAUGUUUUGAAUAGAAAUUUUAAACAUCUAGACCUUCCUCUACACCACUGAAAGUUAACACUCAUAUUUUCAUCUACUUGAGAGAUUGAUGAGGUAGUUGGAG
rnacentral:lncRNA from 1 species